rnacentral:misc_RNA from 1 species
GGUUUAUUGAAUAUUAUAUAAAUUUUAUUUCUUUACAAGAGGUUAGGUCUCAAGUAUAAGAGAAACUCUAUUGAAUUUUUAUUAUAAUUGUAGGAUGGUUAAUUGUUUUCGUUAAGCUUGCUUUUGUUUGUUAUUGAUGAUUGUCUGGUAUAUGUGUUUAGGUGAUCCAAGUCUACCUUCUCUCUUCUCCCUGUUGGAUCAGUGAGUUAUGAGAUUGCCAGUUUGUGUGCUAGCGUCAAACAUGCAUUUAGCAUCAAUAUUAUUUGAUAUCAUGCCAUGUUCAUGCAUUUUUAUACUUAUAUUGUAGUUACAUAUAUAGUGACAUGAAAUGAUUAACGCAUUAAUUGUUAUAUAUGCUAUGGGUGAAAGUGCUACAUGAAAUGAUUUACGUAAUUUUUGUUAUGCUAUGGGCCUUGGGAAUAGUUUAGAACUCCUAACAUGUGAUAGACCAUUAAUUGAACUUGCUUUCCAGCUAGGAUUAUAUAUAUUUGGAAAAAAGAUCAAAUAAGACCCUGUACUUUUAAUCGAUGGAUAAAUAAAUCCAAAAUUAAAUUUUGAGCUAAAUAAGGGCAAAACUUUUUAAUUAAAGCGAAAUAGCCUAAUUUUUUGCUAAAAAAAUGAAAUAUUAUUUUCUCUUAUUUUUUUAGUAAUAAAAUAUUAAAAAUCAUACUUUUAAUACCAAAUAAUUU